GACGAACGCUGGCGGCGUGCUUAACACAUGCAAGUCGAACGGAAAGGCCCUGCUUUUGUGGGGUGCUCGAGUGGCGAACGGGUGAGUAACACGUGAGUAACCUGCCCUUGACUUUGGGAUAACUUCAGGAAACUGGGGCUAAUACCGGAUAGGAGCUCCUGCUGCAUGGUGGGGGUUGGAAAGUUUCGGCGGUUGGGGAUGGACUCGCGGCUUAUCAGCUUGUUGGUUGGGUAGUGGCUUACCAAGGCUUUGACGGGUAGCCGGCCUGAGAGGGUGACCGGCCCCAUUGGGCCUGAGCUGCGGCCCAGACUCCUCCGGGAGGCAGCAGUGGGGAAUAUUGCACAAUGGGCGGAAGCCUGAUGCAGCAACGCCGCGUGCGGGAUGACGGCCUUCGGGUUGUAAACCGCUUUCGCCUGUGCCGAAGCGUGAGUGACGGUAAUGGGUAAAGAAGCACCGGCUAACUACGUG
rnacentral:rRNA from 1 species